rnacentral:rRNA from 1 species
UACAGAGGGUGCAAGCGUUGUUCGGAAUUAUUGGGCGUAAAGCGUGCGCAGGCGGUUUUGCAAGCCGGAUGUGAAAUCCCCGGGCUCAACCUGGGAAUGGCAUUCGGGACUGCAAGGCUGGAGUGCGGCAGAGGAGACUGGAAUUCCUGGUGUAGCAGUGAAAUGCGUAGAUAUCAGGAGGAAUACCGAUGGCGAAGGCAGGUCUCUGGGCUGACACUGACGCUCAUGCACGAAAGCGUGGGGAGCAAACAGG